UAGGGAAUCUUCGGCAAUGGACGGAAGUCUGACCGAGCAACGCCGCGUGAGUGAAGAAGGUUUUCGGAUCGUAAAGCUCUGUUGUUAGAGAAGAACGUUGGUAGGAGUGGAAAAUCUACCAAGUGACGGUAACUAACCAGAAAGGGACGGCUCACUACGUGCCAGCAGCCGCGGUAAUACGUAGGUCCCGAGCGUUGUCCGGAUUUAUUGGGCGUAAAGCGAGCGCAGGCGGUUCUUUAAGUCUGAAGUUAAAGGCAGUGGCUUAACCAUGGAACGAUUUGGAAACUGGAGGACUUGAGUGCAGAAGGGGAGAGUGGAAUUCCAUGUGUAGCGGUGAAAUGCGUAGAUAUAUGGAGGAACACCGGUGGCGAAAGCGGCUCUCUGGUCUGUAACUGACGCUGAGGCUCGAAAGCGUGGGGAGCAAACAGG
rnacentral:rRNA from 1 species